AGAGUUUGAUCCUGGCUCAGGACAAACGCUAGCGGUGUGCCUUAGGCAUGCAAGUCGAACGAUCGAUGCUUUGCAUCGGGAAGCACGAAAACCUAAACAAAUUCAAAAUUUUCAAUACAAAUGUUUUAAACAAAAUAUUUAGGAUUUGGAAUUUUAUUAUUUGGUAUUGUUUUGGAUUUAGAGUUUUGGAUUUCGGAUUUCCGCUGCAGAGCAGCGAUUAGUGGCAGACGGCUGAGUAACACGUGGGAACGUACUUUUUAGAGGAGAAUAGCCCAUUGAAAGAUGGGGUAAUUCUGCAUAGUCCCUUCGGGGUAAAGGAUGUAACUAUCCGCUAAGAAAGCGGCCUGCGGCCUAUCAGCUUGUUGGUAAGGUAAUGGCUUACCAAGGCAAAGACGGGUAGGGGAUGUGAGAGCAUAAUCCCCCAGAAUGGGACUUAGAUACGGCCCAUACACCUACGGGUGGCAGCAACCGGGAAUCUUGCGCAAUGGGCGAAAGCCUGACGCAGCGACACCGCGUGGAGGAUGAAGGCCUUCGGGUUGUAAACUUCUCGUUUUUGGUCCAUUGGACCAUUAAGCAAAAAGCACCGGCUAACUACGUGCCAGCAGCUGCGGUAAGACGUAGGGUGCCAGCGUUGUCCGAAUUUAUUGGGCGUAAAGAGUUUGUAGGUGGAUGAAUAGGUUGUUGGUUAAAGUCUUUGGCUUAACUAAAGAAAAGCCGACAAUACCAUUUAUCUAGUUCUCGAUAGGGGGUGCUGGAACUUACUGAGUAGGGGUGAAAUCCGUUGAUACAGUAAGGAACACCAAUAGCGAAGGCGGGCACCUGGAUCGAUGAAGACACUGAGAAACGAAAGCUAGGGGAGCAAAUCGGAUUAGAGACCCGAGUAGUCCUAGCCCUAAAUGUUGUUCGUUACCUUUUUGUUCAAUUCUUUUUGAAAAAGACUGUUUUUAAUAAUGCUUUUUUAGAAAGAAUUGAAUAAGGGGGGCAGCUAACGCGUUAAACGAACCGCCUGGGGAGUAUGAUCGCAAGGUUGAAACUCAAAGGAAUUGGCGGGGAGGCGCACAACCAGUGGAGCAUGUGGUUUAAUUCGACACAAAGCGAAGAACCUUACCUGGGUUUGACAUGCUAUUGACAACUCUAGAAAUAGAGCCUUCCUUCGGGACAAUAGCACAGCUACUGCAUGGUUGUCGUCAGCUCGUGCCGUGAGGUGUUCCCUUAAGUGGGGCAACGAGCGCAACCCCUAUUCUGUGUUGGAUUUUCACAGAAGACUGCCCUCCGAAUCGGAGGGAGGAAGGUGGGGAUGACGUCAAAUCAGCAUGGUGCUUAUAUCCAGGGCGACACACAUCCUACAAUGAGAAGCUACAAAGGGUUGCUAAAUCGCGAGAUGGAGCUAAUCCCAUCAAAUCUUCUCUCAGUGGGGAUUGCAGGCUGAAACUCGCCUGCAUGAACGAGGAAUUGGUAGUAAUCGUCGAAUCAGCAGGUCGCGGUGAAUACGUUCUCGCCUCUUGCACACACUGCCCGUCAAAU
rnacentral:rRNA from 1 species